rnacentral:rRNA from 1 species
GAUGAACGCUGGCGGCGUGCCUAAUACAUGCAAGUCGAGCGAACAGACGAGGAGCUUGCUCCUCUGACGUUAGCGGCGGACGGGUGAGUAACACGUGGAUAACCUCCCUAUACGACUGGGAUAACUUCGGGACACCGGAGCUCAUACCGGAUAAUAUAUUGAACCGCAUGGUUCAAUAGUGAAAGACGGUUUUGCUGUCACUUAUAGAUGGAUCCGCGCCGCAUUAGCUAGUUGGUAAGGUAACGGCUUACCCAGGCAACGAUGCGUAGCCGACCUGAGAGUGGGAUCCGCCACACUGGAACUUAGACACGGACCAUACUCCUGCGGGAGGCAGCAGUAGGGAAUCUUCCGCAAUGGGCGAAAGCCUGACGGAGCAACGCCGCGUGAGUGAUGAAGGUCUUCGGAUCGUAAAACUCUGUUAUUAGGGAAGAACAAAUGUGUAAGAAACGAUGCACUGCUUGACGGUACCUAAUCAGAAAGCUACGGCUAACUACUUG